GGGGGCGCUUAGGUUUCGACGGAUUUGAAAAUAUUUAUAGUUGCGUGUCGAGGAUUCAUGGUUAACCUCGUAAAUCAUCUAUGAAAAAAAGAUAAAUGCCGAUUAUGGCUACGUUGCUGCUGCUUAAUUGACAGUAGCUGUCUACUAAUAGGUGUGUUCGUCACCCGUUAGAUAGGCAUCAUUAAUGCGAACUAGUCAUUAAAACUGUCUGGAUUUUGAUGAUAAAACCUUACAGACUAGUUUAGAAAACAAUGCGAUCAUUCAUGAUUUUCUAAAUUAAACUAAUAAAUGAUCUACACAUGUAGAUGCUAUUUAUAUUUCAUUUUCGGACGCGGGUUCGAUUCCCGCCGCCUCCACAA
rnacentral:tmRNA from 1 species